UACGGAGGGAGCUAGCGUUGUUCGGAAUUACUGGGCGUAAAGGGCUCGUAGGCGGCCAACUAAGUCAUACGUGAAAUCCCUCGGCUUAACCGGGGAACUGCGUCUGAUACUGGAUGGCUUGAGUUUGGGAGAGGGAUGCGGAAUUCCAGGUGUAGCGGUGAAAUGCGUAGAUAUCUGGAGGAACACCGGUGGCGAAGGCGGCAUCCUGGACCAACACUGACACUGAGGAGCGAAAGCCAGGGGAGCAAACGGG
rnacentral:rRNA from 1 species